CAUUGGUUUUCUUUGAGAUAUAUAGACACAACUAGUGGAGACCAACACCUAUAUACAAGUCAUGUUUGCGUAAAAACAUGGUUGUGGGCAUCACACUUGAUAGAACUUUACUCUAUCAUAUUUAUCAAUAUAUUUUCUCACACUGGCAACAUAUGUAUUAAGCCGCGGCUACACGAGCGAUAUUUUCCUCGCGAUUUUUUAAAAUCGUCAACAAACUGUGGUGGCUACACGCGAGACAAAUAUUUUGAUGACACUGGCAAAUGCCGAGCCUCAAUUUCACUCUCGCAUCUCAUUGGCUAGAUCAGUAACGGUUCGUCGUGUCGUGUUUUCAUUUGAGGUGACUACACGAGAGAUAAUUUUGUAGACACGUCGAAAAAUAUUCAACUAAUUGAAAUUAUCGCGAUCAACUUUGACGAUCGAUUUUUCCUGACUGUCGGAUCGCGCGUUCGUGGGUGGCUAGCUACACGAAAGAUUUUCGAAAUUUGUUGACGAUUUUAAAAAAUCGCGAGGAAAAAAUCGCCCGUGUAGCCGCGGCUUUCAUGCUCUCC